rnacentral:misc_RNA from 1 species
UGCAGGAGACGACGUGCCGCG